AUGAACUAUAGUAUGCAAGGGAUGACGAAAACGAUUCCCGAGUUUUUCAUGAUGAUGAAAUCGAUGAAGGUAGAAAUCAAGAAAGAGCAUCAAGUGUUGAUGGUUGACAAGACCACUAGUUUCAAGGAAAAUGGCAAAGGGAAGAAGGGGAACUUCAAGAAGAACGGCAAGCAAGUUGCUGCUCAAGUGAAGAAGCCCAAGUCUGGACCUAAACCUGAGACUAAGUGCUUCUACUGCAAAGGGAUUGGUCACUGGAAGCGGAAUUGCCCCAAGUAUUUGGCGGAUAAGAAGGAUGGCAAAGUGAACAAAGGUAUAUUUGAUAUACAUGUUAUUGAUGUGUACCUUACUAGUGUUUAUAGAAACCCCUCAGUAUUUGAUACUAGUUCAGUUGCUAAGAUUAGUAACUCGAAACGGGAGUUGCAGAAUGAACAGAAACUAGUUAAGGGCGAGGUGACGAUGUGUGUUGAAAGUAGUUCCAAGAUUGAUAUGAUCAUCAUCGCACACUCCCUAUACUUUCGGGAUUAG
rnacentral:rRNA from 1 species